UAUAAUUGUCCUAUUUUGCAGUGGGAGCAGGUUUGGUGGAGUGAUCACUGUAGUUUGCUUUUUUUUUAACCAUGGUGAGUGCACAAGAGUCAUGUGGACCCCUCCUCUCCGUGAGAGCUUCUCCUAUCCAUUUCUAAUUUUGCAGAUGCUGCUUUUAACCCGCAUACUAAGAAGAGUCUGUGUGGAAAAGAGGACCUUUGUUUCAUUUUGUAUUGCAACUAUUCUCUUCCUGCUUCCAUGGCAGUUUGCACAAUUUGUGCUCCUUACACAGGUUGCAUCACUCUUUGUGACGUAUAUUUUGGGGUAUAUUGAUGCCUGCAAGCUGCUAAACAUCCUUUACGCUCAUAUGGUAA